CCUACGGGUGGCUGCAGUGGGGAAUAUUGGGCAAUGGGCGAAAGCCUGACCCAGCAACGCCGCGUGAAGGAAGAAGGCUUUCGGGUUGUAAACUUCUUUGACAGGGGAAGAGUAGAAGACGGUACCCUGAAAACAAGCCACGGCUAACUACGUGCCAGCAGCCGCGGUAAUACGUAGGUGGCAAGCGUUGUCCGGAUUUACUGGGUGUAAAGGGCGUGCAGCCGGGAAGGCAAGUCAGAUGUGAAAUCCGUGGGCUUAACCCACGAACUGCAUUUGAAACUGCUUUUCUUGAGUAUCGGAGAGGUAAUCGGAAUUCCUAGUGUAGCGGUGAAAUGCGUAGAUAUUAGGAAGAACACCAGUGGCGAAGGCGGAUUACUGGACGACAACUGACGCUGAGGCGCGAAAGCGUGGGGAGCAAACAGGAUUAGAUACCCCAGUAGUC
rnacentral:rRNA from 1 species